rnacentral:pre_miRNA from 1 species
AAAAAGACAAACUAUGGUUUUCCGUGUCCAACUUUAACUGUCCGUCUUAUAUAAUUUUUUUUUAAAUUCGUAUUUUCAUUGUUGUUAGAUAAUAAAACAUGAUUAAUAUUUUAUGUGUGACUUGUCUUUUUAAUUUUUUCAUAAUUUUUUAAAAUAAGAUGGACGGUUAAACGUUGUACACGAAAACC